rnacentral:rRNA from 1 species
UACGGAGGGUGCAAGCGUUAAUCGGAAUUACUGGGCGUAAAGCGUGCGCAGGCGGUUUGUUAAGUCUGCUGUGAAAUCCCCGAGCUCAACUUGGGAAUUGCAGUGGAUACUGGCAGGCUGGAGUAUGGUAGAGGAAGGUGGAAUUCCCGGUGUAGCAGUGAAAUGCGUAGAUAUCGGAAGGAACAUCAGUGGCGAAAGCGACUUCCUGGUCCAGCAUCGACGUUCAGGCACGAAAGCGUGGGGAGCAAACAGG